CUCUCUCUCUCUCUCUCUCUCUCUCCAAUAUGGAGUGGACUAGGGGGCCUGUUGUCGGCCGUGGCUCCACCGCCACUGUCUCGUUAGCCACCUCUGCCUCCACCGGUGAGCUCUUUGCUGUUAAGUCCACGGAGCUCUCUAGGUCUAUGUUCCUGCAAAAGGAGCACUACUUUCUGUCUAAAUUAAGCAGUCCUUAUGUAGUCAAGUACUUAGGCUAUGAUAUUACAGACGAAGAUAGUAAGCCUAUGUACAAUAUUUGCAUGGAGUACGUAGCCGGCGGCACCCUCCACGAUGCGAUUCGGAGACAUGGAGGUCAGCUAGAUGAGCCUACGAUAAGAUUAUACACACGAGAUAUCUUACAAGGCUUGGAGUACUUGCAUAC
rnacentral:misc_RNA from 1 species